rnacentral:tRNA from 1 species
CAAGAAAUAAUUUAAAAAAAUUCUGUACCGAUAAUACAGCCUUGUAAAUAAUACCUUACUUUCCUAA